rnacentral:lncRNA from 1 species
GCGGGGUCGGGGUGGGACGAGGGAUGGGGAACUGGGUGGGUGGGACGAGGGCCUCGGAUCUAGGGCUGUGUGAUGCUAGUCGGGGCAAAGGUUUCCAAGCAGACUGCAGUGCUUGCGUAUUUCCAGGUCCUGUCCCGGGAUUCAGACUCAGAUUAUUGGCGAUUUCAAUUCCUUACAGCCUGUGCCAACAUUGGCAGGAAUAAAGACAAUUCAGCUUUUUGGAAUUCUGCAUUUGGAAGCUGCCUUAUAUGAGGAGCCUAAAAAUCCAAAGACAGGAGUGGCUAGGUGGAAAAAUAGCUAAGGCUGACUUUCUAAGGCAGCAUUAACCACUGUCUUGGUCUUUGGUGUGGUUUGGGGUGAACUUGUUUCUAACCUGUCUAUAAUUAGGUAUCCAGUUUUUCCUAUCUUUAUUCAACUUAGCCAAAUAUUUUAUAGAUAGGGAGGCAGAACCAUCAAGUUUCUAAAGGAAUUACUUAGCAUUACAAAGAGAUCAAGGUUGUGUGAGAAUAAAGGAUUGACUACCAUUUUGACUGAAGUGAGC